rnacentral:rRNA from 1 species
GAUGAACGCUGGCGGCGUGCCUAAUACAUGCAAGUCGAGCGAACAGAUGAGGAGCUUGCUCCUCUGACGUUAGCGGCGGACGGGUGAGUAACACGUGGAUAACCUACCUAUAAGACUGGGAUAACUUCGGGAAACCGGAGCUAAUACCGGAUAAUAUAUUGAACCGCAUGGUUCAAUAGUGAAAGACGGUUUUGCUGUCACUUAUAGAUGGAUCCGCGCCGCAUUAGCUAGUUGGUAAGGUAACGGCUUACCAAGGCAACGAUGCGUAGCCGACCUGAGAGGGUGAUCGGCCCCACUGGAAAUGAGACCCGGUUCCGACCCCCAACGGAGGCAAGAGGAGGGAAUCUUCCGGAAUGGGCGAAAGCCUGACGGGGGAACGGCGCGUGGAUGAAGAAGGGCUUCGGAUUCUAAAACUCUUUUAAUAGGGAAGAACAAAUGUUUAAAUAACCAUGCACGUCUUGACGGUACCUAAUCAGGAAAGCACCGCUAAACACGGG